GAUGAACGCUGGCGGCGUGCCUAAUACAUGCAAGUCGAGCGAACAGACGAGGAGCUUGCUCCUCUGACGUUAGCGGCGGACGGGUGAGUAACACGUGGAUAACCUACCUAUAAGACUGGGAUAACUUCGGGAAACCGGAGCUAAUACCGGAUAAUAUAUUGAACCGCAUGGUUCAAUAGUGAAAGACGGUUUUGCUGUCACUUAUAGAUGGAUCCGCGCCGCAUUAGCUAGUUGGUAGGUAACGGCCUACCAAGGCAACGAUGCGUAGCCGACCUGAGAGGGUGAUCGGCCACACUGGAACUGAGACACGGUCCAGACUCCUACGGGAGGCAGCAGUAGGGAAUCUUCCGCAAUGGGCGAAAGCUUGACGGAGCAACGCCGCGUGAGUGAUGAAGGUCUUCGGAUCGUAAAACUCUGUUAUUAGGGAAGAACAAAUGUGUAAGUAACUAUGCACGUCUUGACGGUACCUAAUCAGAAAGCCACGGCUAACUACGUG
rnacentral:rRNA from 1 species